GUUUAAGAGUGCCAGAGCCAGCUGGCUCUCAUCAGUGCCUUUUCCUCUGUGGAGGCUGAUCAGCUGCAGGUGGAAUCACUCACCUUCUCCCCCUUCAGGCUGCUGUUCAGCAAGUGAAGCUGACCUCUGGCCCAUAACAAGCAAACUAAAACGUCGAUCCAACCAGCAAGCAAGACAUGUCCUGGAAUCCUAUCAUAUGGGAAUGAGAAUGGCGCAACUUAGCACGGCAAAGGGGACUGGGAAAGCGAAAAUGCAGCCCUCUGUGAAGGCUGAGCCUGAACUAUCUGUUCACACCUGCACUGGGGUGAUGAAGAUGACAUUGCAAACACUCGGGAACAGAGUGACAGCCUCCUGCUGGUGGCAUGCUCUGGUAAUGCUAUAGGUGGAGUUGGCAUAAUAGGCAGAGCAUGUGCAGGUGCCCUACACUGUGAUGACUUGUGGGACAGGGCAAGAGGCAGGCACCCCACUAGGACCUUUCCUGAGAUCCACUUCCCCAAGCAGCUCCCUGGGCUCCCUAGACCCUGGUAUGCUCUGCCCCAACCUAUUGGAUCUCCCCCCUCCCAGGAUCGUAUGGGGCCAACUACUCCCUUUAGUUUUCAUCUGGCCAGUCCCUGUCCACCACAGCCCCAAUGCUUCCCCAUUGCCCAGGACAAACACAUAUAGUAUGGGGCAAUGGCAACAUAUGGUUUUAUUGCAUUGUUUGUUUUCUAUUGCAUAUUUCUAACCUUUGUUCCACCAAAGAACCCAAGGCUAUGUUUGGGUGGACACGGAUCAGGCCCAGACCUGCUGUACCUUCAGUAGAUCUGUGGCCUCGGGUGCCUUCAAAUCAUAGCCAGGGACUAUCCUCAUACUGUAACCGAUCUUAAACAAAAAUCCAGUCACAUGACUCAAGCACCUUCUGUUGGGAAUAAUUUUUAAAAAGAGUGGUUAAUCUCCAGUGUAAUGAUUCAGUUGUAAUCUUUGAAUGGGCUCUAUGAUCUGGAGAGGAACUCCACAAGUUAACGGCUCAUAAGACAGAGGUCCCAUACCUGAUAGAAAUAUAUCAGAGUUAAUGUAAACACAGGGAAAACAGGAUUUAAGAAUUUCACUAUGGUGGCUUUUGAAAUAGGCCCAAGGGUCUUCACUACACUGUGAGGCGCUAAUUUACCUGGGAACUUCAUAGUUGCUAUGGUAAUUGGCUCUCAAGAUGUCCCCAAAAUACCUCUUAUGCAGUUGUAGCCAUAGGUUAAUUUAAUAUUCUUAUUGCUAAGCAAUACUUUGAUUCAGUGUCAUUAUGUUUUGAGUUAUAUAUUUCUGUCUGGAAAUGUCAAGGCAAUUCAUCCCUAUUCGUUUUUAGGACUUUUGUGUUCUUCUUGUUUAAAAAGAGUUAAUUGCAUUUUCCCCUCUGGCACAAUUUAUUUGUCUGGGUUUUAUUUGUAGGUGGAAAGAACAGCAACAGGACACUGAGCUGAAAAGCAAAUGAUAUCAGCCUGGAACAUGAAAUUAAGUGUGUAAUUUAGGGCACUACUAGACAGUAGUAGUUCUAUGUAUUGUGUGGCAAGAGGUCUCCCCUACCCUUCGUUCCUUCCCAAUACCAAGAAUAAGAG